rnacentral:rRNA from 1 species
CCUACGGGAGGCUGCAGUGGGGAAUAUUGGACAAUGGGGGCAACCCUGAUCCAGCCAUGCCGCGUGUGUGAAGAAGGCCCUCGGGUUGUAAAGCACUUUCAGUGAGGAAGAACGCCUGGUGGUUAAUACCCAUCAGGAAAGACAUCACUCACAGAAGAAGCACCGGCUAACUCCGUGCCAGCAGCCGCGGUAAUACGGAGGGUGCGAGCGUUAAUCGGAAUUACUGGGCGUAAAGCGCGCGUAGGUGGCUUGAUAAGCCGGUUGUGAAAGCCCCGGGCUCAACCUGGGAACGGCAUCCGGAACUGUCAAGCUAGAGUGCAGGAGAGGAGGGUAGAAUUCCCGGUGUAGCGGUGAAAUGCGUAGAGAUCGGGAGGAAUACCAGUGGCGAAGGCGGCCUUCUGGACUGACACUGACACUGAGGUGCGAAAGCGUGGGUAGCAAACAGGAUUAGAUACCCCUGUAGUC